ensembl:lncRNA
GCUUAUAUUUUUUUUCAGGAUUUCAGGGGAAAAAAAUAAUUUAUGUGAAAUAUGAAAAAAAAACUGAUACAUUCUAAAAUAUUUUGAUCAAUAUUUUAAUCAAUUUAAAUGCAAGUGAAUCUUCAAACUAUCUGACAAUAUUUGAUUAAAAAUGACAUAUUUUAUAAUUUAAGAAUUAAGAUUUUAAUUUUGCAAGUGAAAAAAAAAUACUACUCUAAAUAUUAUUGUAAUAACAUUUAUUAAAAACAUGAUUAAACAUUAAAUGAAAUAAAAGUUUUUUUUUUUUUUUUUUUUUUGUUUGUUUGUUUGUUUGUUUACAACUGAUUAUGAUGUUGAGUGGGGGAGCGCUGGGGGUGUUUCACCUGAAGUCCAUAAUAAUCUCCUUGUUUUGAGAGUGUUCAGUUCCAGGUUGUUGUGACUCCACCAGACAGCCAGCUCUUUAACCUCCUGUCUGUAAGCAGUCUCUGUUGUGUAUGAGGCUGCUGAUGGUAGUGUCAUCUGCAAAUUUCAGAAGCUUGACAGUGGGGUCUUUUGCUGUGCAUUCGUUCAUAUACAGUAGGGGUGUUGCAAUAUACCGGUAUUGAUGAUAACCGUGACAUUCAAAUCAUAAAAUAGCGACAUUGUGUUAAUUUAGGGUGUGACAAUACCGGUAUUGGUGAUGACCAUGAUAUUUAAUAUGAACAGGACACUUAUAAAAAGACGACACACAAAUAGCCUACUCCAGCGCCAGUACCUGGUUGACCUCCCAGGUGGCAGUAUUGCGCCUUAACACUGACACCUGUCACACAAGAAGAGGCAGCGCGCAGCCGCACUACUCCGAGGAGAACCAUCCAUGCUGCGGGUCUGCAGAUGAAUAUAUCUCAGAAGAACCAUGUUCAAUAUUAUUCAGAGAGGAGCUUGAAAGAAGACCUGUGACCUGAAGAAGAAGAAGUGAAAAUGCAAGUGCCCUGUGUUUAUCAAUAUCACGAUAUAUAUCGACAUUGUGAAUUCUUUUGGACACAGUAACCGUGGUGUGGAAAAUCUAAUAUCGUGACAGCCCUAGUAUACAGGAAGAAGAGCAGUGGCUAUCAAGCUAUCAGCAGCCUGCUCCCCAUUUAACCUGGUGCUGAGUUACCAAGGGUUUCUACCUAAAUGUUCAUCCUUUUCAACCUUUGUAAUCAAUUUCUCAGAGCAGCAUUAUGUUCUUUCCAUUUGGGUCAUAAUAAAAAGCCAUUCUGAAAGAGCUAGAAGUGUUCAGAAAGUGCUCCAAAAAUAUUAAUAAAAGAGUGUGAGCGUCACAGAAAUAAAUACGUGACAAAAAGCUUGCCACAUAACCAUACUUCAGACUGAAUGACAAGUUUUUGAACGUUUCUCCAUCAGCAUGUCCCGGUUAUUGUUUGACAGUGAUUUAAAUGUUCCA